CGACUAUUGUGAAUCUUUUAUCCUGCUCUGAUAAUUCUUGAAAUAGCUUGAGCAGCAGCUUUAAAACCUCACUCUGUGUACCACUUCAAGACCCCAGUCCACAUGCAAACCAAGAAAACUUCCACAAGACAAUCUAGGUUUUUAUACAGAAUUUUUACAUAGAAUUUUGAGGAGUUUUCUCACUGACUCCUCUAGUUGAAACUAAUGCAGCAAAACCAUGAAAAGUUGCCCAAUGACUCUCACCUUUUAUUACAAAACCAAAAAGUCAUCACAUGUUAAUAAGAUAAAGUAUUUGUGAUAACCAGAAGGAAAGGGGAGGGAGGGAAGGAACUGGAAGCCACCAGUUGCAUGAUCUAAAAGAUUACUCCAAGGGAAGGAAAUUUCAUUUUCCGCAUUUCCCCACAUUUAGCAAGCACCAGUUUCUUUCUCUACGGCUGCAUUCACAUCUACAUUUUAAUCCAGCUUCAGUCCACUUUCAGAAUGAAAAGACACAUCGGAAAAGUGAGAAGCUCUUUUCUUUUGGCAUUGCCUAACUCAGAAAAUCCACUUUAGGAUUACAUAAUGUGGAAAGAAACUGACUAGUCACUUUACUGAUAGGUUCUCUCUUUCUGAAAGUAGACUGAAACUGGAUUAAAACUUCAGUGUGGAUGAAACUUCAAAGUGGUCUUGAAAACGGCAAGACCCUUCCCAUUUCCCAGAGAUGCCAAGCUAUUCCUGGAGUAAACAGAAUGAGGAGAGGCGACGAUCUACUGAGGAAGGUAGUAGGUUCUGAUUCGAAUGAUCAUCUAUCUGCUUAAUCUGAACUGAAUUCAGAUCUGUCUCGUCAUCUGAACUCGCUCUGCAGAGAAGGGUUCAGAGAAGCAGAACUAUGCCUGCCGAAGUUGUGAAGCGAAGACGCCUGCCUCCCUGGCUCGCCCCAUGCGCUCAGAAGAGAUCUGUGUAACCCCAGGCGCGUUUGGAAGGAAGCGGGGGACCGCGAAAUAAGUUGCCCGCCGACUCACUUGGGGGACUACCGCUGCUGGCGGCUUUAUCGGUCCUGUUGCUGGCCGCGGACCAAGGAAGUUGCACCGCUGCUGCUGCUGCUGCUCCGUCUGCUUCUGUUUCCCCUUGGUCUUCUUGUUGCCUUUGUUACCGCCCUGCUGCAAACCAGGCACCGCAAACCCCCCUGUGCAGCCACAGAUGCCUUGCAGCCGCGCGGCGGCGGAUCUGCACAAAGGAUGGGCCACGGAAGCGACGAGCUACCGGCAGCUUUGAAAUUUCUGCCAAGAAGAUGAGCAUUUUCCGUCCGGUGCAAAAUUGUGCUAGGCAAAAUCAACCCUGGUAAGUUACUCUAUCACCUGUCUACACAGUAGUAGGAGAUAGAAAUUAAGGUGGUUUCAUGCUUGAGGAGCUACUUGGGAUCAGGAACAUUUGCCUGCCAGACCUUAGGGAAACUCUAAGAGUACACAAUAUCAGUGAUGUGGAUGCAGCCAAAUAUUCCAAAUUCAGGUGGAUACAAAUAAAUACAUGAAAUGAAGAUUAAUUUCCCUAUGU
rnacentral:lncRNA from 1 species